UGCACAUGCUGGUUUUUUGAAAGUGAGC
rnacentral:piRNA from 1 species